rfam:Alkalibacter saccharofermentans DSM 14828 genome assembly, contig: EJ14DRAFT_scaffold00017.17
AAGGUCCCCGGUAGACGACCGGGUUGAUAGGCCAGAGGUGUAAGUGCAGAAAUGCAUUCAGCUGACUGGUACUAAUAGACCGAGGACUUGACCAA